UUUGCCCACACGCCCGCCUCUUUAGCAGCCGGUAGUUUCUAAAUUUAACAACCGAUUCUUGCGAGCCGGUGCGAACUGGCUCCAGCUCACAACUGCAAAAAUCCCAUUUGAAUUCUCUCACAUUGCGCUUCUUGCCCUGGCAGGUUACAGAAUAACAUCCACAUUUCCCUCCAGGUCAUCCCAUCCUCCCAGGGGAAGGAACUGGCUGCAAUGGAGCUGGCUCAGUUUCCAGUUUCCAAACUGAAUGUGACCUCGUGGUUUGAAGGAGGGGAAGAGCCGUGGGUCCCACACCUCCAGGGCUCUGAGAAAGAAGUGCUCCCGAGAGCUGCCUGCAGAGCCUUCCCACGUAGCAUGAGAGCCCUUCCACCUACACUUAUGGGAGAAGACCCAGG